GAUGAACGCUAGCGGCAGGCCUAACACAUGCAAGUCGAGGGAGAAGCCCUUUCGGGGGCAGAAACCGGCGCACGGGUGCGUAACGCGUAUGCAACCUACCUUUCACAGGGGGAUAGCCCGAAGAAAUUUGGAUUAAUACCCCAUAAUAUUAUUGAAUGGCAUCAUUUGAUAAUUAAAACUGCGGUGGUGAAAGAUGGGCAUGCGUCCUAUUAGCUAGUUGGAGUGGUAACGGCACCCCAAGGCUACGAUAGGUAGGGGUCCUGAGAGGGAGAUCCCCCACACUGGUACUGAGACAGGGACCAGACUCCUACGGGAGGCAGCAGUGAGGAAUAUUGGUCAAUGGUCGGAAGACUGAACCAGCCAUGCCGCGUGCAGGAAGAAUGCCUUAUGGGUUGUAAACUGCUUUUAUAUGGGAAGAAUAAGGUGUACGUGUACAUUGAUGACGGUACCAUAUGAAUAAGCAUCGGCUAACUCCGUGCCAGCAGCCGCGGUAAUACGGAGGAUGCGAGCGUUAUUCGGAAUCAUUGGGUUUAAAGGGUCUGUAGGCGGGCUAUUAAGUCAGGGGUGAAAGGUUUCAGCUUAACUGAGAAAUUGCCUUUGAUACUGGUAGUCUUGAAUAUCUGUGAAGUUCUUGGAAUGUGUAGUGUAGCGGUGAAAUGCUUAGAUAUUACACAGAACACCGAUUGCGAAGGCAGGGGACUAACAGACAAUUGACGCUGAGAGACGAAAGCGUGGGGAGCGAACAGG
rnacentral:rRNA from 1 species